GCUGGCGUUGGAGCGCAGAGUGGAAACAUACCGUCUCACUGUGAUUAGGAGAAGCAACCAGAGAAGGUCUCCCAAGGCAGGGGACCUCAUCACAGGUCAUUUAGUUGUCAGAGAAACUGGAGCCUUUGUCAUAUAGAAUUGCCCAUAUUCUGGAUUUGAAUGGUUGCUUCUUCAUGGGGUCUGGAUCAUUUCUCUAUCCGCUGUAUCUCCUGAUAGUGGUAAUUUAUCACCAUCACCAUCAUCAUCAUCAUCAUCAUCAUCAUCAUCAUCAUCAUCACAUUAUACCAGAUCAUCCCAGUGUUGUUGGAAAGAACACGGACCACAGUCUCAUGUUGGUGCUCAAGUCUGGGGAGUGAUUCCAGUACAAAGAUGAUGCACGGACUUGUGCAAUGGCC